AUACGUAGGGGGCGAGCGUUGUCCGGAAUGAUUGGGCGUAAAGGGCGCGUAGGCGGCCCGGUAAGUCUGGAGUGAAAGUCCUGCGUUUAAGGUGGGAAUUGCUUUGGAUACUGUCGGGCUUGAGUGCAGGAGAGGUAAGUGGAAUUCCCAGUGUAGCGGUGAAAUGCGUAGAGAUUGGGAGGAACACCAGUGGCGAAGGCGACUUACUGGACUGUAACUGACGCUGAGGCGCGAAAGUGUGGGGAGCAAACAGGAUUAGAUACCCUGGUAGUCCACACUGUAAACGAUGAAUGCUAGGUGUAGGGGGUAUCGACCCCUUCUGUGCCGCAGUUAACGCAAUAAGCAUUCCGCCUGGGGAGUACGGCCGCAAGGUUGAAACUCAAAGGAAUUGACGGGG
rnacentral:rRNA from 1 species